rnacentral:misc_RNA from 1 species
CAAAUUUUAGAAAAUGAAAAAUGAUUUUUUUCUUUUUAAAAGAGAAAGCCUUUUUCUUUAAAAAUGACUAAAAUUUUCUUUUGAAUAAAAAAAUAUUUUAAAUAUUUAUCCGUUAACUCAUUUUUCUGAGUGCCCCAAACAUUAGAAAAUACGGAAAAUAGGAAAAUAUUUUCUGUGCAACAACCAAAGCCCUUAACUGAAAAUAUUCUCAUUGCUUGGUCACUGGAAAUAUAUAUAUAUAUGUAUAGAUGCUCAACUUGUAUAAAGCAUGUUUAUGACACAUUUCUUUUUUUCUUUUUCAUUUUAAUUGCUGAUAUUCAAGUCAUAUGGGAUGAAAAUUAGCUACAAGGUGAUGUUUUUGGUUUUGUAGG